rnacentral:rRNA from 1 species
UACGUAGGGGGCUAGCGUUGUCCGGAUUUAUUGGGCGUAAGGAGCGUGUAGGCGGCCAGGUAGGUCUGGUGUGAAAACUCGAGGCUUAACCUCGAGAUGUCAUCGGAAACCAUCUGGCUAGAGUCCGGAAGAGGAGAGUGGAAUUCCUGGUGUAGCGGUGAAAUGCGCAGAUAUCAGGAAGAACACCAAUGGCGAAAGCAGCUCUCUGGGACGGUACUGACGCUGAGACGCGAAAGCGUGGGGAGCGAACAGG